rnacentral:rRNA from 1 species
UACGGGGGGUGCAAGCGUUGUUCGGAAUUACUGGGCGUAAAGGGCUCGUAGGUGGCCAACUAAGUCACACGUGAAAUCCCUCGGCUUAACCGGGGAACUGCGUGUGAUACUGGAUGGCUUGAGUUUGGGAGAGGGAUGCGGAAUUCCAGGUGUAGCGGUGAAAUGCGUAGAUAUCUGGAGGAACACCGGUGGCGAAGGCGGCAUCCUGGACCAAUACUGACGCUGAGGCACGAAAGCGUGGGUAGCAAACAGG